GCUUCCGCGGACUACCGUAAAGAGGCGGCCGCGGAGGAGGUGAAAGCGACUUGACACCACUCUUCUCGCUAGUUCCUCUGCAGCGACAACGCCGCCGCAGCCAAUUGCACUCUCCCCUCACCGACGACUGGGGUCCUCGGGCCCCGCGGGAAGUAGCGCCGUCUGCGCGGAGGGAAACGGCGCGUGGUGAAGCGUCCGGCAACGUGACGCGUCCGCGGAAACGCGGCUCCUCCGCGCCCUUGCGCGCCCCCAGUCCGCGGCCCCGCCCCUACUCGUAGCCAGACCAGGCAGCUCUGGAGGCCGGCGGCCUGGGUACGGUAGGAUGGAGUACUCUCCAUGGCUCCGGCCUCGAGGGCGGCCCGGCAAGGCCUCCGUCCCGGGGCGUUUGUCUGGCCCGCGGCUGUAUACGGCCAGACCCACCGUUCCCCUCUCCAGCCGCAGGUGCCGCAGAUCGGGCUCCCGACCGGGGCAAACGUAAUAAUCUGACUAGCCGGUGUCGACCCCGCUCCUCCUCCCCGGGCUCCCCAGCCGGGCGCCCCUAGCCUCGGGUUACUCUGCUGUAAAGCAGGGUAGUUGUGAGGGUUCCAAACGGCGAAUGCAGGCAGCAGGUCCCAGUGUGGCUGUCUGGAAGCUGUACUUUCUCCUCAAGUUGUUUUCAGCUUAGCGAAGCAUUGCUUUUCAUUGCCUUUCACCUCACCCUUGCUGCCCAGGGGGUCGUACCUCCUAAUAAAAUCUUAGCACUUAAACUUGGCUUGAGGCUCUGCUUUCUAGAUAAUCCUUUAGCAUCCUUUGGGCUUUCAGUCUGUACUUGACUAAAAUUUUCACAGCCAUAAUAGCAAACAACAUUAGGAUUAUUUUUGACUCUGACGUACUCUCCUGUUAGCCCUGAACUGCUUUACAAGGUAAUCGGUUGAAACCAAUACUAAAUACAUAAAUUUAUGUAUACUUGCUUUUGUGUUAGUAGAGAUAAAAAAAAUUUUUUUCCACUUAAUGGUGUUUUCUCUCAAGAGUAAAUUCCUAGAGCACAGGCACUUGUAUGUUUUAAACAUUUGGAAGCUUAAAAAACCUGAGAUGCAAAUAAGUGCAAAAGGAAAAAACUGCUUUUCAAUCAUGAUCAUAAAGCUGUCAGCUGGGAAGGGUGGUCUAAUUAUAUUUUUUCAGUUCAUUCAUAAAACUAUGUUCUAUCUUUCCUAAAACCUAAUUAUUAGGGAAGGAUAUGUUAAACCCAUUUUAGCAACGUCUUCUGGUCCAGAAUGCAGUGCAAGACAGUUUUUUUCUUUGCACUACUUUAAAUAUGGAAGACUUGAGUACGUUUGUAUUUUUAAUGAUAACAGCCACUGGCUUUGUGGCCUCCUGUUAACUGUAGGUUUGUCAGCCCUUUCUCUUCCCUCCCACUUGGCUUGCUAACCAUCUGUAACUUGAGCAACAGUAAUUUGAGAUGAGACUGGCCAGGGUCAUAUGUUAAAUAGGACAUUUCCACUUUCUUGACCACAAAAUCCUCCCUUUCCUGGCCACUUAAACACUGUUACAUAAUUCUACAAACAUGUGGAUCUGAUGAAGAUCUACAUAUGUUGGCAAAGGUCACACCUGCAAAUCUACCUUACUAUCAGCAAAUUUUUUUUUUUUUUUUUACUAAAGACAUUGUGUAUAAUCCGGUGUUUCAUAGCAUGUAAAAAUUAUUUUUAAGAACAUGUUCUCUCUUAUCUACAUCAUUGAUUUUUGCAGGGAAAACUUUGU